rnacentral:lncRNA from 1 species
GAUAUCGUUACAAGUACAUGUAAGGAAGAGAUGAGUAUAUGGAUUUGGCUUACAUUUGCCACAAGCUACAACAUGAACAUCUGAAUGCAACAAUACAUUCGAUCAUCAUAUAGAAGACCAGGGUCCGACUACGGACGAAAUCAAACGAUAAAAUGACAUCCACCCUUGCUAAUCCCACGCUGCCGGCCUGGAACCCAUCCUAUGCUUGAUGAAGAAGAAGAAGAACUCCAAAUAGAACAAUCAUCGUGCUCAGGCCAAAAUAUCACUUUACC